rnacentral:rRNA from 1 species
GACGAACGCUGGCGGCGUGCCUAAUACAUGCAAGUUGAGCGCUGAAGGUUGGUACUUGUACCAACUGGAUGAGCAGCGUACGGGUGAGUAACGCGUGGGGAAUCUGCCUUUGAGCGGGGGACAACAUUUGGAAACGAAUGCUAAUACCGCAUAAAAACUUUAAACACAAGUUUUAAGUUUGAAAGAUGCAAUUGCAUCACUCAAAGAUGAUCCCGCGUUGUAUUAGCUAGUUGGUGAGGUAAAGGCUCACCAAGGCGAUGAUACAUAGCCGACCUGAGAGGGUGAUCGGCAACAGUGGGACUGAGACACGGCCCAAAAUCCUAAGGGAGGCAGCAGGAGGGAAUCUUCGGCAAUGGACGAAAGUCUGACCGAGCAACGCCGCGUGAGUGAAGAAGGUUUUCGGAUCGUAAAACUCUGUUGGUAGAGAAGAACGUUGGUGAGAGUGGAAAGCUCAUCAAGUGACGGUAACUACCCAGAAAGGGACGGCUAACUACGUG